rnacentral:rRNA from 1 species
GACAGAGGGUGCAAGCGUUGUUCGGAAUUACUGGGCGUAAAGCGUGUGUAGGCGGUCCGCUAAGUCGGGUGUGAAAGCCCUGGGCUCAACCCAGGAAGUGCACUCGAAACUGGCGGGCUAGAGUAUCGGAGAGGGUGGUGGAAUUCUCGGUGUAGAGGUGAAAUUCGUAGAUAUUGGGAAGAACACCGGUGGCGAAGGCGGCGCUCUGGACCGAGACUGACGCUGAGGCGCGAAAGCGUGGGGAGCAAACAGG